AUGGUUUUGGUUAAAUAAAUAAAAAAAAAAUAAUAAUAAUAAUCUGUUCUUAUCAGUUUGAUAUUUGAUACGUCCCCUACCCGGGGACUGCAUAUUAAAUUGAUUUUUGGAUCACGGAGCUGGAGCCGGGGCUUGCUCCGUCCACUCCACGCAUCGGCCUGGUAUUACAGUGUCUCCAGGAAUGGUGCUUCCCCU